CAAGCACUUGGUUCGCCCCUUACUAUAACCAUCCCACUCAAUCUUUUACACCGAUGUUUCGUACUCUCUCGACCAGGUCAUCAUAAGAAAAUACUGCCAAAUCUUUCCGAAUGAGAGAAGGAGGGAAGGCGCGCUACAACUAACUGUUGA
rnacentral:rRNA from 1 species